rnacentral:rRNA from 1 species
GGUCAAGUGAAGAAGGGCGCACGGUGAAUGCCUUGGCACUGGAAGCCGAUGAAGGACGCGACUAACCGCGAAAGUCUUCGGGGAGCCGUAAGUAGGCUUUGAUCCGGAGGUCUCCGAAUGGGGGAACCCAGCAUGUGCAGACAUGCUAUCCUUAAGUGAAUACAUAGCUUAAGGAGGGAACACGCAGUGAACUGAAACAUCUAAGUAGCUGCAGGAAGAGAAAGAAAUAUCGAUUUCCCAAGUAGCGGCGAGCGAACAGGAAAGAGCCCAAACCUGUCAGAUUUAUCUGCCGGGGUUGUAGGACGUGAAGACGAUGGCACUUUCAGAGGAUAGCAGAAGCGUUUGGGAAAGCGCGCCAGAGAGGGUGAGAGCCCCGUAAGCAGAAAUCAAAGAGGCCUAUCAGUAAUCCUGAGUAGGGCGGGACACGUGAAUCCCGUUUGAAUCCGCGAGGA